rnacentral:lncRNA from 1 species
AUGCUAUGUAGAUUUGUAGCCACAGAAGAAGAGGAUACCACCUGGUGUUUUGCUUCCAGAACAGUUUCUAAAGUCUCAUUUUGCCAUUCUGGGACAUCAUUCUACAGUGUGGAAAGAAAGAAAAAAGACUGGGAAACAAAAGCAUUGCAUUUCUGCACUAGAUGGUGGGAUGGUGAGAUGCUCAUAAAAAGUCUGAACAUCUAUUGACCCUAUGAUCCAAAAUCUGCAAACAGUCUGUACGUAAUAGAACUGCACUGUAAAAGUUAUUUUGUUAAGGAAAACCUUUUUAUGUAUGCAUAAAUAAUUUAAAUUAGUAGCUGCAUAUUAGGAUAAUGAACAUUCAUGUAUUUGGUGGCCCUAAAGUUGGACAAAAUGAAAUAUCUAUUUGAUUUCAGAAAACAUGCGAUCAAGGGGCAUACGAUCUAUUGGCUACAUUGUUCAAAUGAGUUUCUAAGCCAUUUUUCAUCGUAGAAAUUCAGCCCUACGUAUUUACAGUGUUUGGAGACUUAUAAAUGGGAAAUACAUAAGACCUUGAAAGAACCGAAGUAAGACAAGUACCAUUCAAGAAAACCGCAUACCAGUUUCCAAUAGGGAGCAUCCACUUAAGCUUAUUUAGACUGUUUUAGGGUUUGGUGUCU